GGGGAAUAUUGGACAAUGGGCGAAAGCCUGAUCCAGCCAUGCCGCGUGUGUGAAGAAGGUCUUCGGAUUGUAAAGCACUUUAAGUUGGGAGGAAGGGUUUCUGGCUACUAUCCAGGAAUUUUGACGUUACCGUACGAAUACGGAUCGGCUAACUCCGUGCCAGCAGCCGCGGUAAUACGGAGGAUCCGAGCGUUAUCCGGAUUUAUUGGGUUUAAAGGGUGCUCAGGCGGGGGAUUAAGUCGGCGGUGAAAUUUUGCAGCUCAACUGUAAAAGUGCCUUCGAAACUGGUUUCCUUGAGUGCGGAUGAGGUAGGCGGAAUUUGUGGUGUAGCGGUGAAAUGCAUAGAUAUCACGAGGAACUCCGAUUGCGCAGGCAGCUUACCAAGCCGUAACUGACGCUCAAGCACGAAGGCGUGGGGAUCAAACA
rnacentral:rRNA from 1 species